rfam:Gossypium raimondii Chr05_contig_1362, whole genome shotgun sequence.
UGUUAAAAAUUUCAUCUAUUUGUACUGUUAAAAACUGACGUAAUUUACGGAAUAACCAAAUAAUGACAUGUGAUGUGAUGUGCCACGUGUACCUAAUGACAGUAGAAAUGGAUUAAUUUUAAACA